UACGUAGGGUGCAAGCGUUGUCCGGAAUUAUUGGGCGUAAAGAGCUCGUAGGCGGUUUGUUGCGUCGGCUGUGAAAGCCCGGGGCUUAACCCCGGGUCUGCAUUCGAUACGGGCAGACUAGAGUGUGGUAGGGGAGAUCGGAAUUCCUGGUGUAGCGGUGAAAUGCGCAGAUAUCGGGAGGAACACCAAUGGCGAAGGCAGCUCGCUGGGACGGUACUGACGCUGAGGCGCGAAAGCGUGGGGAGCAAACAGG
rnacentral:rRNA from 1 species